CUCUGCGCAUGUGUGACGCGACUGCGCACUAAUUGGGCUACAAGAUGGCGGCGUCCGCAGUUUGCCGUGCAGCGGGCACCGGGGCACAAACUCUUCUGCGCGCUCGCCGCUCGGUGAGGUGGCCGCGAUAACGCUGGACUGCGGGGCUCAGGGCUUCGGGACUCAGAAGAGGAGUAGGCCAUUAGCAGUGGCGGGUUGAAGUGGGGAGGUCACCAGGUCAGGGCCAUGGAAAGGUCAUGGCCGACUGCGGGGAUGGACGUCUUUCUGCUGCUGGCCCGCGGUUGGGAAUAGGGGUCUCACAGCGGACCCGGGUGCUGGGGAGCAAUUCUCUAACCCAGUCCUCACUCGCCGCCUGUCCCUUCUCGCAGCCGGCAGUGCUGAGGGCGCUUGCCUUACGGGGUGCCGCAACCUUCGCCCAGGCCCUCCAGAGUGUGCCAGAGACACAGGUCAGCGUAUUGGACAAUGGGCUGCGAGUGGCCUCGGAGCAGUCCUCCCAACCUACCUGCACGGUGAGUGGGCAGUUCUGUCGAGGAGCGGGGGACCUCCAGCUUGGGCCAUCUUUUCUUGGGUCGUGGUGUGACCUUCUUCUCUAUGGUCUGGUUUCAGAGUAUGGCCCACUCACUGCCAGAUUGUCCCAAUCCCUGAUUCCUGCCCAGCCUUAACUUCAUAGGGUAGUGUUCGCUUUUAGCCAACAAUCCUUAAACACUUGCUGCCUGCCAAGUAGGGGGCCAAAUUCCCUUACAGCGUUUUGCUUUGCUAAGAAAAAUAUGAGAGAAGAAAUGGCGUCCUUGUCUUGAGAAAAAAUGAAGAGUGGGAUUCAGAGAUUUUUAGGUGCCUUACAGAGGUCCACAUUUCUCAGCCUCGCAGCCAAGAUCACAACUUCCAAGCUAGAACAGGAAUACACUUCGAGAAAUGCAUUUGAGGGGAUGCAGUUGCUGGAUUGUAGUUCAGUGGUAGAUGGCUUGCCUAGCAUGCAUGCAUGAGGCCCUGGGUUUGAUCCUCAGCACCACAUAAAAAUAAAUAAAUAAAUAAAUAAAAUAAACAUAUUGUAUCCAACUACAACUAAAAAAUAAUUUUAAAAAAUUGACUCAAGGAUAGAAACUUUGACUAGAUGUAUGAGUAGGUGAGAAGAUUCCCAAGAAAUAAUCCUUCCUCUUCCAUAUACACACCAGCUCCAGGGCCAGAUGUUUUUAUUGGCAAAUUCUUUCACUUUUCCAGGAACAGAUAAUGUCCUGUCAUACAGGUUGUUACUGAACACAGGAAACAGUGGUAGGCAACUUUAUUGUUAUAUGGCAUCUGACCCAAAGCCUGUCUAGAAAGCUUAGACUGUAAGGAGCACCAGUGUGCUUCUGUGUCAAAGGAUACUGUAGAGUAGAAAAUGCAUCUUCCUUUCUGAGAUAUGGAUUUGAAAUAACAUGUUCAUCUAAGAUAAACAUAGAUAGGUACAUCAAUAUCUUGUUGGAAAUGAGAUGUGAAAAACUUAAAUCAUCUGUGAACAAAUAGUAAAUUAAAAGGAUAGACCAUUGUGACCAUGUGGGGGGUGUUUCACAGCAUACCAGGAGGCAGUUAAAAUUUUAAGAUUCUUUCAUUGGGUGUCAGGGAGACACUUGACAGUAUUUGGUGACUCUGAUUAAAACCUUGAUUUUUUUUCAGCCUGGGGUGUGUAGCUCAGUGGUAGAGCACUUGCCUAGCAUGGGUAAGGCCCAAGUUUUAUCUCUAGAACUGCAAAAUAAAUAAGUAAAAGUUAAGCUGGGGGGCUGGGGAUGUGGCUCAAGCGGUAGUGCGAUCGCCUGGCAUGCGUGUGGCCCGGGUUCGAUCCUCAGCACCGCAUACAAACAAAGAUGUUGUGUCUGCCGAAAACUGAAAAAUAAAUAUUAAAAAAUUCUCUCUCUCUUUAAAAAAAAAAAGUUAAGCUGGGCACAAUGGCAUACACUUGUGGUCCUAAGUCCUUGGGAGGUUCAGGCAAGAGGGUCACUUGAGCCCAGGAGUUUGAGGUCAGCCUGGGCAACAUGGUAAGAACCUCCUCCCUAUCUUGAAAAAGAAAGAAGAAAGAGCCAAAUGUGAUGGCAUAUGCCUGUUAUCCUCAGCAACUGAGGCAAGAAGUUUGCAAGUCUGAGGCCAGCCUAGAGGCAAAGCGCCCCUUGGGUUCAACUCCCAGAACCAAGAAGACAAAGUCACUAGAAGGUUACUUCCUUAAUAUGAUAAAAUAUAUAGCAUCUUCUUCCUUAAAAAUGAAAGGAUAAAAUCAUCAUCAGGGGCUGGGAUUGUGGCUCAGUGGUAGAGCACUUGCCUAGUACAUGUGAGGCACUGCAUUGAUUCUCAGCACUGCAUGUAAGUAAGUAAGUAAAUAAAUAAGUAAAAUAAAGUCCAUCAACAAUUAAUAAAAAUAUUUUAAAACAGAACAAAGCAGAAUUUUUAGAAUGGAGAAAAUAAGUGUUCUUUGCAAAUGAUAGACUUCAAGCCUAGAUAAAAUAGAAUCAACUGAAAAGAUAGUAAAUUUAAAAACUUUAUGGUGGUGGUGGGAUCAGGUAAAUGGGUACAGUUAGAUAUGUCACUGGGUACCAGGAGCUGUGACACUUGCCUGUAAUCCCAGCUACUUGAGAGGCUAAGUCAGAAGGAUUGCAAGUUUGGGGCCAGUCUUGGCAACUUAGUGUGGUCCUCUCUUGAAUAAUAAAAAGGGUUGGGGGUUUAACUUGGUGGUGGAGUACCUCCUUGGCUCAAUCCCUAGUAUUAAACAAACAAAAAAAAAAAACAUGGAAGGAGCAGUGAUGCAGUGUGAGUAGCCAUUGGUUGGUUCUCUGUGCCAUGGGCUCUGCUGUGACUCCAAGUACAGGGGUCCUUACUGGGAAAGCUUUCCCUCACCUUGGGAUCCAUAAGGCCCUAUGUGGGGCUUAUGCUGAAUUAUUCAGGGUGCAUUGUGAGUGGUACAAGGAUGUUUUGUUUAUUUGCUGGUGACUUCUUGUGCAGGUGGGGGUAUGGAUUGAUGCUGGCAGUCGUUAUGAGACUGAAAAGAACAAUGGAGCAGGCUACUUUGUGGAGCAUCUAGCUUUCAAGGUGAGGCCUGUGAAGUUUUUUUCUUCCCUGGGCUUAGGGCUGCCUGUUUUGAGGUUGAAGAUCAGAAAAAUUAACCUCCUAAUUAUGGACCUCAGUUGGGGAGUGACUCUGGCUGGUCUUUCUGGAAGAAAUCAUGUGAGCUUAUUGUCUUCUGAUUGAGCACUUAUGUGUGACUCCCUGUAUGAAGUCCCCAGAGCUGAGAAAACCCAAAUGCCUACAGAAGCCCCAGUUUUCACCAGGCUGGUAUGUUCAUGCCUGACUUAUGGAGCUUUUACACACACACACAGACACACAGAUUCAUAUGAAUGGCAUGUGUUUAGGGGUAGGUCACAUCAUUUGAACAUAGCCAUGAUCAUGGCUGUCAGGGGAUGUGGAGUAUUAGUAAAGACAGGUUAUUAUGAAUGUUGGGCAAUACUUGCUUUUUCCACAACCUUCUAUCCCAACCCUGAUCAUCUCUGUUCUUUUGACCCAUGAUACUGUGACCUUGGUCAGCUCAAGGCCUGCAAGGGACCUCCAAGGAACCUUGUUCCUGUCCUUGAGGGGAAUGACUUCUCUCCUUUGAUUUCAAGAUAGGGUAGAAUUCUGCCCUUCUGCCUUUACUAGGACUGGCCACACAGGUAUACUCCUCAUCUAAUACAUGCCUCAGUUGGACUGCUGGCCCCUCCCUAGGGCUCAGGCCUCUCUUUGUCCCCCCUGGUGCUAGGAUAACUAGUUUGUGGCUGUUGAGGGACAUAAGCUCCUGGGUAGGCCUUGCCAUUCAUUGCCAUUGGUUGAACCAGACAUUGGGUAUGUGAUGAUGCAUACAUGAUGAGUUGGGAAGCACAUUGAAGGCACACAUUGAAGGCUCAGUGCAUACAGACUCUGGGCCCUACAUCCCUACCCCACAAUCUUUGUGGAAGAAGGUACUUGUGAACUACUAGUCCUUUGGGGAUUAGCCUGUGAGGGCAGAGUUCCCGGGCUUCUUUUGUGUCUCAUGAUUGGUGUUCUUGAUGUCUGGUUUCAGGGAACAAAGAAUCGGCCUAGCAAUGCCCUGGAGAAGGAGGUGGAGAACAUGGGGGCCCAUCUGAAUGCCUAUAGCACUCGGGAGCACACAGCUUACUACAUCAAGGCACUGUCCAGUGACCUGCCGAAAGGUAAUGCUUAGAGGAGAGGGUUUGAAACAGAAGAAUAUAACUCUAGGGGAGCAGAGGAGCCCCAGGAGCCCCUGGACAGGCUGCAGAAUUGAUUAUCCAUGGGUUGUGGCCUUAUGGCAGGAUGACCAGUAGGGAUGGGCAGCAGUAGGAGAUGCCAGACUUGGGAUUUUGUAUUGUCAUUGGUCUCCACUGGACACCUGAACAUGUCCUUGUGUCCAGUCGUGGAGCUACUGGCUGACAUUGUGCAGAACUGCAGCCUGGAAGACUCCCAGAUUGAAAAGGAACGAGACGUGAUCCUGCGGGAAAUGCAGGAGAAUGAUGCAUCUUUGCGGGAUGUGGUCUUUGACUACUUGCAUGCAACAGCGUUCCAAGGCACACCUUUAGCCCAGGCUGUGGAAGGGCCCAGUGAGAAUGUCAGGUGAGAACUGACUCUGUGUUGUUUAUUUUCCUAAUUUUCUGCAAUUGGAGACAGUUUCUGUAUUGCCAUAUGGUCCCUGUGAACCUAUUUAAAUGGCUGUGUGGUCUUCACUUCAAUCUUGGGCUUUGUUUUAGGGUAUGUUUCCAUGUAUGCCCUUAUAAUCUAAGGAGGGAACAUUUGGCUUGCAGGUGGGAGGUGUUUGAGAGCUCUGACCCUGCCCCUCGAGUCACACAGCGUCAGCUCACACCUCAGAGAGGGCUGUGAGACUGUCCUGAGGGCACAUGUGAGGCAGGGCCAGAUGAGGGCUCCACUCUGGGCCUUGAAAGGGUGGUUGGUAGAGAUGAAGAUGUAAUAGGGCCUCUUCAGAGAGGCCAUGUCUCUUCUCAAUUCCAUUAUAUCCAAGUUGCUAUGGAUUGGUAGAGAACUUGAUCCAUAUGGGCUGUAUGUUUUAUAGGAAAUUGUCUCGUGCAGACUUGACUGAGUAUCUAAGCAGGCAUUACAAGGCCCCUCGCAUGGUGCUGGCAGCAGCAGGAGGUGAGUGAUGGGCUCCUUGAAGCUCUGGGUAAGUGGAGCCUGGCCUUUGUAGUCAGAACCCCCAUUUUCACUCCAAGGGACCUUGUUCCUGUCCUUGAGGGGAAUGAUCUCUCUCCUUUGCUUUCAAGAUAGGGUAGAAUUCUGCCCUUCUGCCAUUACUAGGACUAGCCACACAGGUACACUCCUCAUCUAAUACAUGCCUCAGUUGGACUAAUGGCCCCUCCCUAGGGCGCAGGCCUCUCUUUGUCCCCCCUGGUGCUAGGAUAACUAGUUCGUGGCUGUUGAGGGACAUAAGCUCCUGGGUAGGCCUUGCCAUUCAUUGCCAUUGGUUGAACCAGACAUUGGGUAUGUGAUGAUGCAUAUACAUGAUGAGUUGGGAAGCACAUUGAAGGCACAAAAUGUUAGGGGAGUUCAGAGUUAGUUAUAGUGGGGACAGGUGAAGCAUGAGUCUUUUGCCAGAGGCCCGAAGGAUGGUAGGUAUUUAUUUGUUAGGUGGGGAAUGGAGGACCUUGGCAGAGGUGUCAUGUUCUGGUAAUUUAUUUUAAGAUUUGUUCUACUGAGUGGGGCCAGAGCAGAGCAGGCUAACUAGGGAUGAGGUGUGGCACAUGCCUGGAGAGAGAGAGCAGGAGCUAAGGAGAGACUUAGGUUUUCUAGACUUAAGUUCUGUAGUUGAAAACCUCAUACAGAUCUGGAUGUGGGUAGAGGAGGAGGUUCAAAAUGCUUCCUGCUUAUGGUCUUGGCAACUGGGUAGGUGAAAAAGACUGAUAGGAAGAGCAUAACUGAGGGAUUUAGAGCCAGGACACCUGGGACCAAGGGCAGUGUGAGCUACUAACACAGACUUUUCGAGUGAUAGCAGAACUGGGACAGGCUGUCCACUGCCAUAGUGAUUACUGGUUAAAUCACUGGGGCAGCAGAGGCCUCUUGUGGAACUGAGGAGGUGAGACCUGGAAAGGAGUCCUGAGGGUAUAAGUUUGUGAUGCUCCUUGUAAGUGUUCUCAGCUCUCAGGGACACCAGAAUUCAUUAUAGCCCUGCAAUAGCACCUCUUUGUGCCUCUCACUUGCCACUGCUUUCAUGACCAGCACCCAGAUCUGCUUGUAGUAGGGCUUGAGGGACAAGGCAUCCCCGUGACCUUAUUCCCAGGAGCACCAGUCUUGUUCUUGAUACAGGUGAGAUGAUGCUUCUAGGAUGAGAAUCGGCACUUACGUCACAUAGCAGCAUUCUCCACCUUUUUUUUUUUGUAUCAGGGAUUGAGCCCAGAGGCACUUAAGCAUUGAGCCAUAUCCCCAGCCCUUUUUUAUUUUUUAUUUUAAGGUAGGAUCUUGCUGAGGCUGUAGUCCUCCUGCCUCAGCCUCCCAAGCUGCUGGAAUUACAGGUGUGUGCCCGGGUCAUGGCAGCCCUUUUUUUGGGGGUGGGGGUUACUGCGGAUUGUACUCAGGGACACUCAACCACUGAGCCAUAUCCCCAGCCCUGUUUUGUGUUUUAUUUUGAGUUGCUUAAUGCCUCACAAUUGCUGAGGCUGGCUUUGAACUCACGACCCUUCUGCCUCAGCCUUCCAUGCAGCUGGGAUUACAGGCAUGUGCCCCCAUAUCUGGCCUUUUUUGUUUGUUUGUUUGUUUGUUUGUUUGUUUUAAUAUAUAUUUUUAGCUAUAGGUGGACACAAUACCCUUAUUUUAUUUUUAUGUGGUGCUGAGGAUUGAACCUAGUUCCUCCCGCAUGCUAGGCAAGUGCUCUACCCAGUUCCAUGGCUGCCCAUUUUUAAAGUGCUGUUUUUGCUAGGCAUGGUGUUACAGUAUCUCAGGAGACUAAGGUAGGAGGAUCAUGAGUUCAAAGCCAGCCUCAGCUACUUAGAAAGACCCUGUCUCUAAAACAAAAUAUACAAAAGGACUGGGGAUGUAAUUCAGUGAUUAAGCGCUGCUGGGUUCAAUCCCAAGUACAAAAAAAAAAAAAAAAUGCUGCUUUUCUCUUUUGCCUGACACCAUGGGAACUAUUUGAUCCUGAAGUGUCUUUCUUGCCUGUGAGAUAGGGUCAUUUGGCAGAUGCUCCUCUUCCCUCAUCUUAUCUCAAUGUUGUAUUUUCCUUCUGCUGUCUCCCACUGAGACAGGACAUAGGGUCUUGCACCUGUCUGUGAUUCCCCCUGGCUAGCCAGUAACUCCAUUGCCCAUGUCCUCAGGAGUGGAGCAUCGUCAACUGCUAGACCUCGCCCAGAAGCACUUCAGCAGCGUCUCUGCGACAUACCCAGAUGACACCGUGCCUACUCUAAGUCCGUGCCGCUUCACUGGAAGCGAGGUGUGCUGCCUGGUGGGCAGGGAUGCUGUUGUCAACUGGGGAUUUUGAGAGAACCCUCAUAUGCAUGUGACCCCAUAAUGACUCAGAAGUAGGGAAAGGGUCUUGUGCCUGUUGCCUGAGGAUGAUUUUACACAUAUGUGCAUGCUUCACCCACACCAGCCAUCCUUUCUGUUUGUCCUGGAAGUCUGGCUAUACUGUUCCUCAGCCCUUGACAUGUACUCUUUCAGAUUCGCCACCGUGAUGAUGCCCUGCCCUUGGCCCAUGUGGCCAUUGCAGUAGAGGGACCUGGUUGGUCCAACCCAGACAAUGUGGCCCUCCAAGUGGCCAAUGCCAUAAUUGGCCAUUAUGACUGCACUUACGGUGGUGGCGUGGUAAGUGUCAGGAUUGAGCAUAGGACCUUGCCUUUAAAGAAGAGAGUACUGCCGGGUGCAUGCCUGUAAUCCCAGCAGCUUGGGAGGCUGAGAUGGGAGGAUCGCAAAUUCAAAGCCAGCCUCAGCGAAAAAAUCAAGGCACUAAACAACCCAGAGCAUGUCUCUAAAUAAAAUACAAAAAAAAAAAAAAAUGGGGAUGUGGCUCAGUGGUUGAGUGCUUCUGAGUUCAAUCCCUGGUACACCACCCCGCCCCCCACCCCCCCCAAAAAAAAGGAAAGAAAAGGGAGUACUAAGCUGUGGGUUUCAGGGUAUAUGGGCCAGAGAUAAGAGGGGGUGCUAACCAUUUGUGCCCCUGGCAGCACCUGUCCAGCCCACUGGCUUCAGUUGCUGUGGCCAACAAGCUGUGCCAGAGUUUCCAGACCUUCAAUAUCUGCUAUGCAGAGACUGGGUUGUUGGGUGCACACUUCGUCUGUGACCGUAUGAGCAUCGAUGACAUGAUAUUCUUCCUGCAGGGCCAGUGGUGAGUGGCAGCUGGGAACUACUGGGUGGGAUAGAAAUCUGACCAGAGAGGUGGGAGGUUAAGAGUCAACGCACUUGUCACAAUGAACACUACCAUAUACCUGUCCUUUACUCCCUGCUUUAGGAUGCGCCUGUGUACCAGUGCCACGGAAAGUGAGGUUACUCGGGGCAAAAACAUCCUAAGAAAUGCCCUGGUAUCUCAUCUGGAUGGUGAGCCCUUUAUCCCUAAAGGAAGGGGUAGAAUAGUGCAUCCUGGCAGUGACAGCUCAUUGUAGCCAUUAUUACAAACCAAGAUUGGAAAAGAAAACGUUGAAGGUCAUGCCAUGCUCCACCACCCCAACUAUAGGGGUUUGAAGCUUUAGGUAGACAUGGGGGUAGCCCAUCACUGUGGAAAUAGGUUGUUAGAAAAGUGAUGGUUGUGGUCUGGAGUCAGAGCAAGGUCUUUGUUAACCUGAUGCCAGGGAUUUUAUGUGUAUAUGUGGGUUCAAGAUUGGACUGGGUAGAUCUCUAAGCUUUCCCCACCAUUAAAGGCACCACUCCUGUGUGUGAGGAUAUUGGACGCAGCCUCCUGACAUAUGGCCGCCGCAUCCCCCUGGCUGAGUGGGAGAGCCGGAUUGCGGUAACAUGGGCCCCUGGGAGAGGUUCUGGAGUCUUGGCCUAGCAGAACCCUGAAAGGGGGUGGGAUGUUGAUGCCUGACGGGAGACUGUUCCCAUAGGCAUCUCUAUUGUCCUAGGUAGCUGUCACCCAUAGGGAUGAUGUAGUCAGAAGGAAGGGCAAAGGCACUAAUGACUGUAGGGAUAGGUGAUGUCCAUGGAUGUCUACAGUAGGGAAAACCUUGCCACCCUUUUUGGAUGAGGGAAAUGUUCCACAGUACAUGUGGGAGAUCUUGGUCAGCUGGAGGAGGCUGGCUGACUGAGGUGGUGCCCAGUGCCUAUUAGUCAGUUUGUCCUCUGCCUCUCCCUGCAGGAGGUGGAUGCCCAUGUGGUGCGUGAGGUCUGCUCCAAGUAUUUCUAUGACCAGUGUCCAGCAGUGGCUGGAAUGGGUGAGUGGUCUAGAAAGUCUGCUUUUUGUCCUUUUCCUCAGAUCCUUGUCCUAGUCUCCCCUUCCACUUCUGCUCCCCUACCUCCAGCCUACAUUGAGAGAAGCAGUUUGAGGCCCCUGAGAGUAGUGUGGCUGCCAGGGAGUUCUUGCUCAGAAAACCUGUCCCAGCAGCUCCCUGACUCCCUGCCAAGGUGUCUUCAUCAAUAUCCCUUACCCACCGGGUAACGGACACCCUGUUUGUUGGGUGGGGCUCUAAGGGCCUGAGCAAGAAAGGACAGGCUCUGCACCCCUAGGGGAAUGUUGUCUUCCCUCUCUUCACUGAAAGCCUGUCUUGUGCUUCUCUGGGCAGCAGCUCUGAGCUGGGUAUGGCACAGGGCCAGGUGUCCCUGUACAGAACAGGUACCCCACCCUGACACCUCACCCUAUCCCCACAGGCCCAAUCGAGCAGCUCCCUGACUACAACCGGAUCCGUAGUGGCAUGUUCUGGCUGCGCUUCUAGCAAGAUGCCUGUGCAGGCAAGAGGGUAGGAUCGGGGCUCAUGAUCCCCCUCUACAAACAUGCCACUCUGGCACCUCAAACCCAUGCAAUAGAUACCACCAAUAAAGUCCUCUGUUGAGAAUUGUGUUGUACUUCCUUUAUUGGCAUGGAGUCCUUCAGUUCAUGGAGGAACAAGCACCUCCCACCAGUUCUACAUCCCCUGGAUCCUUCUGCCUUCCCUCCCACACAGGCUGAUGUGUUCUCAGCCAGGGGUAAGUUGGGGGCUGCAGCAUAGAGGCCGGAAGUCUCUGAUGCUUGUAAAGAACCCACUCCAGAUGUUUCUGCUCAGCAUGUGGCAUAUUAGCCAGCCUGUCUCAAGAGUGGGAUGUGGGAGUUCAUGGGAAUAGCCCCAGCCUGUGUCCUAAUAGGGGUCCCAGCCUGGAAACUAGGGCCUUGGGUGGCAAACCCCUCACUGCGGACCCUACACAUAGUUGCUUCCUGGCAGUCCCUGGUCUGGUAGGACAGAUCAGGAGGGGCCAAGAACUUUCCCUAAGGAAGCCUUCUUUGUGUUUACUCUCAGUCCUGGAAGAGGAUAGCCUGGGGCACGGAAUUCUCUUGGUUUCUAACUGCUGCCUGUACAGGCAGAGUAAGAAUGCUUUGCCACGAUUUGCCACUGACUCAGGCUCCAAGAAUAGCCCUGAGCUCAGUGGGGCCUAAGCCCCCUCCCUCCACUAGAUCUGUCUCAGGCAAGUCCUGAGCUGUUGUUAGGCUGUAGAUCCCCUCCCCAUUUCUUUUUUUUUUAACUUUUUUUUUUUUUUAGUUGUAGAUGGCCAUUAUU
rnacentral:lncRNA from 1 species